rnacentral:rRNA from 1 species
GGUCAAGUUAUUAAGGGUGCAGGGCGGAUGCCUUGGCACUAGGAGCCGAUGAAGGACGUGAUAAGCUGCGAUAAGCUUCGGGGAGUUGCACGUAAACUUUGAUCCGAAGAUUUCCGAAUGAGGAAACUCACUUAGAGUAAUGUCUAAGUAUCAUUAAGUGAAUACAUAGCUUAAUGAGGGGAACUCAGGGAACUGAAACAUCUAAGUACCUGAAGGAAGAGAAAGAAAUUCGAUUCCGUAAGUAGCGGCGAGCGAACGCGGAUUAGCCCAAACCAAUAAAGUUUUCUUUAUUGGGGUUGCGGACAUAUCAUAACGAAGAGGUAUCGUAAUUGAAGAGGUUUGGAAAGACCCACCAUAGAAGGUAAUAGUCCUGUAUGUUAAACGAGAAGACUUUAGAUAUGAUCCAGAGUACCACGGGACACGUGAAACCCUGUGGGAAGCAGGAGGGACCACCCUCCAAGGCUAAAUACUACCUAGUGACCGAUAGCGUAUAGUACCGUGAGGGAAAGGUGAAAAGAACCCCGGGAGGGGAGUGAAAUAGAACCUGAAACCCUGCACUUACAAGCUGUGGAAGCACAUUUCUUGUGUGACCGCGUACUUUUUGUAGAACGGGCCAACGAGUUACGUUAAGUAGCAAGGUUAAGCACUUAAGGUGCGGAGCCGUAGCGAAAGCGAGUUUUAACUGAGCGUUCAGUUACUUGACGUAGACCCGAAACCGGGCGACCUACCCAUGAGCAGGAUGAAGCGAAAGUAAAAUUUCGUGGAGGUCCGAACCCACGAGCGUUGAAAAGCUCGGGGAUGACUUGUGGGUAGCGGUGAAAUUCCAAUCGAGCCCGGAGAUAGCUGGUUCUCCCCGAAAUAGCUUUAGGGCUAGCCUCAAGGUGAGAGAUACGGAGGUAGAGCACUGAAUGUCCUAGGGGGUAUUGCACCUACCGAAGACUAUCAAACUCCGAAUGCCGUCAUCUUAUACUUGGGAGUCAGACUGUGGGUGAUAAGAUUCAUAGUCGAAAGGGCAACAGCCCAGAUCGUCAGCUAAGGUCCCUAAAUGUAAGUUAAGUGGUAAAGGAUGUGGGAUUGCACAGACAACCAGGAUGUUGGCUUAGAAGCAGCCACUCAUUCAAAGAGUGCGUAAUAGCUCACUGGUCGAGUGAUCCUGCGCCGAAGAUUUCCGGGGCUAAAACUUACUACCGAAGCUACGGCAUCAGUAAUGAUGGGUAGGGGAGCUUCCCAUACGGGUUGAAGCAUGACCGUAAGGACAUGUGGACAGUAUGGGAGUGAGAAUGUUGGCAUGAGUAGCGAGAUGUGGGUGAGAAUCCCACAGGCCGUAAACCCAAGGUUUCCAGGGGAAGGUUCGUCCGCCCUGGGUUAGUCGGGACCUAAGCUGAGGCCGAAAGGCGUAGGUGAUGGACAACAGGUUGAUAUUCCUGUACUACCGAUAACCGUUUGAGAGAAGGGAUGACACAGUAGGAUAAGCUAAGCACACUGUUGGUUAUGUGUGCCCAAGCAUUGAGGCAGUCAAAGUAGGCAAAUCCGCUUUGAUAAUGCUGGGAUGUGAUGGGGAGCGAAAUUUAGUAGCGAAGUAGCUGAUUUCACACUGUCAAGAAAAGUCUCUAUCGAGGUUAAAGGUACCCGUACCGCAAACCGACACAGGUGGGUGAGGAGAGUAUCCUAAGGCCAGCGAGAGAACUGUUGUUAAGGAACUCGGCAAAAUGACCCCGUAACUUAGGGAUAAGGGGUGCCACCAUCAGGUGGCCGCAGAGAAUAGGCCCAAGCGACUGUUUACCAAAAACAUAGGUUUCUGCUAAGUCGCAAGACGAUGUAUAGGAGCUGACGCCUGCCCGGUGCUGGAAGGUUAAGGGGAUCUGUUAGAGCAAUCGAAGCAGUGAACUUAAGCCCCAGUAAACGGCGGCCGUAACUAUAACGGUCCUAAGGUAGCGAAAUUCCUUGUCGGGUAAGUUCCGACCCGCACGAAAGGCGUAACGAUUUGGGCACUGUCUCAACAACAGACUCGGUGAAAUUGUAAUUCCGGUGAAGAUGCCGGAUACCUGCGACAGGACGGAAAGACCCCAUGGAGCUUUACUGUAGCUUGACAUUGGGUCUUGGUACUACAUGUACAGGAUAGGUGGGAGGCUUUGAAACCAGGACGCCAGUUUUGGCGGAGCCAUCCUUGGGAUACCACCCUUGUAGUACUGGGACUCUAACCAUAGGCCAUGAAUCUGGUCUUGGGACACUGUCAGGUGGGCAGUUUGACUGGGGCGGUCGCCUCCCAAAAGGUAACGGAGGCGCUCAAAGGUUCUCUCAGUACGGUCGGAAAUCGUACGUAGAGUGUAAAGGCAAAAGAGAGCUUGAUUGCAAGACAUACAGGUCGAGCAAGGAUGAAAAUCGGACUUAGUGAUCCGGUGGUUCUGCGUGGAAGGGCCAUCGCUCAACGGAUAAAAGCUACCCUGGGGAUAACAGGCUUAUCUCCCCCAAGAGUCCACAUCGACGGGGAGGUUUGGCACCUCGAUGUCGGCUCAUCACAUCCUGGGGCUGUAGUAGGUCCCAAGGGUUGGGCUGUUCGCCCAUUAAAGUGGUACGCGAGCUGGGUUCAGAACGUCGUGAGACAGUUCGGUCCCUAUCCGUCGCAGGCGUAGGAAAUUUGAGAAGACCUGUCCUUAGUACGAGAGGACCGGGAUGGACGUACCUCUGGUGUACCAGUUGUCCUGCCAAGGGCAUGGCUGGGUAGCUAUGUACGGAAUGGAUAAGCGCUGAAAGCAUCUAAGCGCGAAGCCAACUUCAAGAUAAGAUUUCCCACCGCAAGGGUAAGACCCCAGAAAGACUAUCUGGUUGAUAGGUCGAAGGUGUAAGUGCAGCAAUGUAUUUAGCUUAUCGAUACUAAUAGGUCGAGGACUUGACCAA